rnacentral:rRNA from 1 species
AUGGUCUCGUCAAUGAAGCACUGCAGAUAUCAGGCCGAGGUGCCAUUGUCCCUCUCGCUCUCCCUCGGCGCCGUGACUGGACGGAACAAGAAGACACGCCGCAGUGCAGACGGCGAGUUCGUGUGCAAGACGUGCAGCCGCUCCUUCCCGUCGUUCCAGGCGUUGGGCGGACACCGGACAAGCCACCUGCGCGGCCGCCACGGGCUCGCGCUCGGACUCGCCGCCGGGACCGAUCUGCCGGCGACCAAGAAGGCCACGGAGCAGAAGCAGGCGCACCAGUGCCACGUCUGCGGGCUCGAGUUCGAGAUGGGGCAGGCGCUGGGCCGCCACAUGCGUCGGCACCGCGAGCAGGAGGCCGCCACCACGGCGCAUGCGCCUCCCGUUCUGCUACAGCUCUUCGUCUAG